CCAUUCGCGCAUAUAAUCUUGAAGGCAGAACUUCCGAUCUUAAAUCACUGGAUAGUUUAUGUGUGGAAGUAGCGGCAGCAAAACGCUUGAUCGCAUAUCUCCAUUUUUGAACAACCGAAGCGUUUGCUUUGAUAAUAUUUCCAGAAUGCUGGCCGCCGUCAUAAUGCUUGCAGCUUUAAUAACUUGUGCUACAGGCAAUGGACAAGACGACCCACCUACUGGCCCGGGCUGCGAGCAGCCAAAAGAUGGAAUUUACACGACGUGCACAAUGGUAUGUGGAGACCAAGUAUCAGCAUUAAGCGAGGGUCAACCGUGCUUCGUAAGUAUUCCCGCAUUGCG
rnacentral:lncRNA from 1 species